AGGGAAUCUUCCGCAAUGGGCGCAAGCCUGACGGAGCGACGCCGCGUGAGCGAGGAAGGCCUUCGGGUUGUAAAGCUCUGUUGUGAGGGAAGAACGCCCUGGAGAGGGAAUGCUCUGGGGGUGACGGUACCUCACGAGGAAGCCCCGGCUAACUACGUGCCAGCAGCCGCGGUAAUACGUAGGGGGCGAGCGUUGUCCGGAAUUAUUGGGCGUAAAGGGCGUGUAGGCGGCCUCUUAAGUCCGGUGUGAAAGCCCCCGGCUCAACCGGGGAGGGGCACUGGAAACUGGGGGGCUUGAGAGCAGGAGAGGAGAGCGGAAUUCCACGUGUAGCGGUGAAGUGCGUAGAGAUGUGGAGGAACACCAGUGGCGAAGGCGGCUCUCUGGCCUGGCUCUGACGCUGAGGCGCGAAAGCGUGGGGAGCAAAC
rnacentral:rRNA from 1 species